GACCGGUUGAUAUGUUUAUAGGUUCAGUUUAAAGAGUCUGGAAUAUGCCAUGGAUUUGUUCUUUGGAUUGAUUGGGUGCUGAACUUGGAGGAUAAUAAUGUGUGGUCGACAGGACCAGAACAACGAUAUUGGAAGCAAGCCGUGAAGCUUUUAAGUAACCCUGUAGAGAUUAUGGGUGACUGUUCGUCAACGGAAAUCAAAGCAUCAUUUGAUCCUUCAAGUGGUGAACUCACGGUAACACAUGGUUUCUCAUGACUCCAAGAUUUCCUUAUUUGCUCUUGUGAAGUCUCGACUUCUUUCUAAAUUUUUUCUUGUUUUGUUGUAAUUUAUUUUGAGUUCAUGCAAGCUUGUCUGCUGCUAUGAUCACCUUAUGGUUAUAGGAUUCUAUAAUGGCUCAAAAUGGCAAAAGUAGCCAUGUACAUGCAAAGAGUAUAAUGACAAUUUUGUAUUCCCUUAAGGGAAGUAGAUAGCAUAUUUUGCAAGUACAAAAUGGAUAGCCAGUUAGUUAACUGUAUUAUUGAAAUUUUUUUUUGUUUGACACUUGCAACCGAUCCAAUCGAUAGUUUGCUGAUCGUGUUCUUUAUCA